rnacentral:pre_miRNA from 1 species
UGAGGGCUGCAUGGUGCUAACGCCUUAACAAGCUAACCGCGUUGACACCGUGCAGCCCUUGCU